UCGCCGCCCACUUGCUUGUCUCCCCACGCUCGGCGCUCGGCGCUUUGUUAUAGAGCAGCUGAUCCGCUGACAUCACCCUGGGCUGGGGCUGCUCCCUGACUGACAGCUCCCCGCGCAGCCCCAAAAGCAGGGCCCGCCGCCGCCGGUGCAGCAGGAGGAACAGGCGAGGCAGAGCACGAGGGUCGAGCUUCGCCGUCGGCGCUGCUUAGUCUCUCCCUGGUAUCCACGCGCGGGAAAGAAGCUCGGGGCGGGAAAGAAGAGCUUCACUAAGGACUAGGUUGCGCCACGCAGCGCAGCGGGAUGGCGGCGUGCGCGGAAAGGCGCGCACACACUCCAGCUGCCGCGGCCCGCGAGGAAAAGCGAGCAGAAACACGCUGGAGAGGAGCCGGAAGGAAGCACCUCAUGGGCCAAGGCGCCCAUUCUAGAGCCGCUUUCCUGGGACUAAGCCCCAUUGGAGCUCAGGUUUUAAAACAAAACACAGUGGAACAACUGCACAAUCUUUCCAUGUGUGAAUGACCCAUCACAAAGCUGUGAGCCUGACCAUAGGUAGAAGCCAUCUUCUGGAGGCUUUUCCGGGGUGCUCUCACUUUUAAAGGUUGUUUUUUACAGGAGCAAUGUCGCCACCUUUUUUGCGUCCCUCAAACAGAGUCAACCAAAUCAGGUGCCCCUUCCUUUGUAUCGGCAUCUGUCUCUGCAAUGUCCUGACACUACAACAGUUCCAGUAGAACUGUGGUGGAAAGUUUAUUGUUAUGGGGCAGCCAGUGCUUGCCAUGUGAAGACUACCAAU